GCUGCUGGAGACCUGUCACACAUCCAGGAGUGCUUUGGAGUUUACCUCUUCGCAGUCUGGAGCAAAAUGAAAGAGCUGAUGUCGAGGCCUCCCAAGUAGUGCUGCUACAGACCAUGAGCAAGAGAGAAGGAGGAGACGUUGGUCUGCACGAACGAUCCUGAAACGCAAAUGGUCUUGGCCCGGCCUUGGAUGAUCCAGAAGAGAUGUGGUGUUUGCUUUUGGGGCGUCUCCUGAAGGGCUUUGCUGGAGGAUCCACAACCGGCAGAGCAUCAGACAGCUAGUUCAAGUCAGAAACUAAACCGAAGAACUCACAGAAGUCUGGCUGGCCGAGGAGGGAACAAGUCUAGGCUUUUCACAUUGACUUUCUCUACUGCCUCUCCUUCUGCUCAAACAAAUUCUGUCUGAGAAGAUCUGAUGGGAAGGAGCUGACUGCUUAGAAUUUUCCAUUGUGAUGAAAGCAUAUGGUACAGGUAAAUAUCUCUGACAUCUUUAACCAAAAAUAGCUCUCAUUUAAUUGUAAAA
rnacentral:lncRNA from 1 species